rnacentral:rRNA from 1 species
GACGAACGCUGGCGGCGUGCUUAACACAUGCAAGUCGAACGGAAAGGCCCUGCUUGCAGGGUACUCGAGUGGCGAACGGGUGAGUAACACGUGGGUGAUCUGCCCUGCACUUCGGGAUAAGCCUGGGAAACUGGGUCUAAUACCGGAUAGGAGCCAUUUUUAGUGUGAUGGUUGGAAAGUUUUUUCGGUGUAGGAUGAGCUCGCGGCCUAUCAGCUUGUUGGUGGGGUAAUGGCCUACCAAGGCGGCGACGGGUAGCCGGCCUGAGAGGGUGGACGGCCACAGUGGGACUGAGAUACGGCCCAGACUCCGACGGGAGGCAGCAGUGGGGAAUAUUGCACAAUGGGCGCAAGCCUGAUGCAGCGACGCCGCGUGGGGGAUGACGGCCUUCGGGUUGGAAACUCCUUUCGCUAGGGACGAAGCUUUUUGUGACGGUACCUAGAUAAGAAGCACCGGCUAACUACGUG